rnacentral:rRNA from 1 species
AGCAGCCGCGGUAAUUCCAGCUCCAAUAGCGUAUAUUAAAGUUGUUGCAGUUAAAAAGCUCGUAGUUGAAUUUCGAGAUCAAAUUGUCGGUCGUGCCUUGGUACGCACUGGCAUUAUUGAUUUCUCCCUUCUGAAGAACCAUGAUGUCAUUAAUUUGGUGUCAUGGGGAAUCAGGACUGUUACUUUGAAAAAAUUGAGUGUUUAAAGCAGGCUCGCGCUUGAAUACAUUAGCAUGGAAUAAUGAAAUAGGACGUUUGAUUCUAUUUUGUUGGUUUCUAGGGAUCGACGUAAUGAUUAAUAGGGAUAGUUGGGGGCAUUAGUAUUCAAUUG